rnacentral:rRNA from 1 species
AAAUUGAAGAGUUUGAUCAUGGCUCAGAUUGAACGCUGGCGGCAGGCCUAACACAUGCAAGUCGAACGGUAACAGGAAGCAGCUUGCUGCUUCGCUGACGAGUGGCGGACGGGUGAGUAAUGUCUGGGAAACUGCCUGAUGGAGGGGGAUAACUACUGGAAACGGUAGCUAAUACCGCAUAAUGUCGCAAGACCAAAGAGGGGGACCUUCGGGCCUCUUGCCAUCGGAUGUGCCCAGAUGGGAUUAGCUUGUUGGUGGGGUAACGGCUCACCAAGGCG